GAAGUGCGAACCAAGCGUGCGCCCCGGCGCUGUCAGACUUGGAGCGGGUGCCUGCAAGGACACCCUGCA
ncrna:unclassified sequences Transposase-2 RNA